CUCUCCUCCCAUCUGGCUGACGCCAGGCUGCAAUCAUUGCUCAUCCAUCUUGGCACCAGGGCAGAGCAGAAGGCCUGCAAAGCCCAGAUGUCCGAAUGUUUAUGGAGUUGAACGACGGCGCACCGGGACAGCAGGCCCAGCGUUCUGUAUGUUUUUGAACAGACAAAACGGAAAAGGGUGAAUGUGUUUCCCAUCCAGUCUGGUUGGGCUCUGGUUGCCAGUGGCCGACAGAGGAGACGCCUCACCUGAGCCAUGUUGACUGGGUCCUGGGCUGCACAGGACAGCCCCUCCCCUGGCUUCUUCUGUGUCCCUGAGCAACAUGGAGAUUCUGUUCUGCCGACUUGCGGCCCUGAUCCAGCACACACAGGGCCCAGGCACUUGGCACACGGAACGCUGACCACUGAGCUCCCCGAGCAGAGGGUGGUCUCGGCACCAGCGCAGGCCCCGGGCUCCUCCUGUGGCGCACAACACGGGAGGCCUUCGCGAGACAUCAGCAAAGAUGAUCAUGUCACACAUGACAGGAAGAAACCCAGCCCCAGAGGUGUUGGUCAAGUAUUCAAGGCCAGAGGCUGACAGAAGAGCAGGCCCACUCGGCCGGCCUGGACUGUGAACUGAUGGUAGAUAAACGGGUUUUCACCCCGUGGCAGCUCGUGGGGAAUUUAGUUAAAUUCUCCUGUCAAGGUGAUUAUUGGUUGCGAAAUUAUAUUAAUACAGUUUCUGAUAUUGAAUACCUUUUGCCCCUGAAAUAAACCAGCUUUGUCUUAAUGAAUUAAUGUUUCAAGAUACAUUGGAUUAUUUAUUAAUAAGUAUCUUAUUUCAGAUUUUUGUCUUUAUAGUUUCAGAGUUUGAUAUUGUCAGAUUGGGUAACUGGGUAACACUCACUUUAUG